AUUAGCCUAGCUAACAGCACCCCUGCCGCAGCCUCCCUUUUGCAAUUCGCCGUCAAUUCAUACGUAAAGCAGCUAUAGCCAUGCAUAGGAUGGUGAAGCUACUCUGCACGCUGCUGCUGGCCCUUUCUCUCACGGCCCACUAUUCGGAUAUGUCGAUGAAGGUGUCGGCCGAUUGUCAGAGCGUCAACGUACCCGGCCCCUGUUCUCCCACAACGUGCGAUGAUAACUGCAAGUCGCAAAUAGGUGCUGGGGCUGUUGGCGAGUGUACGUCCGGGGGAUGCCAAUGCACCUUUUGUACUCUCCCUCCUCCAAAGAAGAACUGAAUAAUUAAUUAUGAUGAUGAUGCAUCAUGGUCUGUGAUGUAUCAUUUAAUCCUAGCAUAAUAAAAUUAUACGAAAUUGUGUCGACGAUA